rnacentral:rRNA from 1 species
GACAGAGGGGGCAAGCGUUGCUCGGAAUCACUGGGCGUAAAGGGCGCGUAGGCGGGACGCCAAGUCGGUCGUGAAAUCUCCGGGCUCAACCCGGAGGAGUCGGCCGAAACUGGUGUUCUUGAGGGAGGCAGAGGAGUCUGGAAUUCCCGGUGUAGCGGUGAAAUGCGCAGAUAUCAGGAGGAACACCAAUUGCGAAGGCAGCUCGCUGGGACGUUACUGACGCUGAGACGCGAAAGCGUGGGGAGCAAACAGG